rnacentral:rRNA from 1 species
CACGUAGGGCGCAAGCGUUGUCCGGAAUUAUUGGGCGUAAAGAGCUCGUAGGCGGUCUGUUGCGUCCGCUGUGAAAACUCGGGGCUUAACCCCGAGCCUGCAGUGGAUACGGGCAGACUAGAGGUAGGUAGGGGAGAAUGGAAUUCCCGGUGUAGCGGUGAAAUGCGCAGAUAUCGGGAGGAACACCGGUGGCGAAGGCGGAUCUCUGGGCCGAUACUGACGCUGAGGAGCGAAAGCGUGGGGAGCGAACAGG